GUAGAAACAACACUUCCAUUGUAAUCACUGUGAGGGUCAGGUGGUAUCUCCCUAAGCUAAUACACUAUUCUACAGUGUACUGCAUCACCUUAUGGUGCAGAGUGGCGGAUCUCUCCAUUCUUGUAUAUAGCCUCUGCCAAUCCAGACUCCAGUACUAGGUGCAGGAGUGGACAUGUUACCAAUGCAAGCUCUGUCCUUUCUGCAGCGGGCACAGUCAGGAUAGAGCAACAGAAUACAGUAGAAGAAUUGCUGGUUGAAAAAAUGGAUAAAGAUUCAAGCAGUUCAUAUUUUCCAAACUGGUUCCUCCAAUCCUAGGUGAGUGGAGGCGGAGUGGACCAUGGACUGGGAGUACCUUCAGCCUGCUUGCAAGGCAGUUUAUAUCUGGCAGUUUAUAUCUGAUAACUGCCAAUAUCCGAACUGCCACAGAAUGCUCUUUAUAUCUCCAUAGGCAAUGUGAAGAUGAAUCUAUUCGACCAGGUCAGGUUGAAUCAGGAUUUGUUAAAGGUGAAAAGUGCUUCACCUCCCUUACAAGCGGUAAUGUUCGUCACACCGCUCCACCAGCAGCUUGGGGGCGCUACUAGCCACUCAGAGAGAACUUUCUACAGCCAGGACUCCCAAUCACCUGAGGAAAAGCUAUGAGGCCAUCAGCUUUCCCUGGUCCCAUGGUUUUCCUUCAGAACCAUGAAGGCCAGAAGCUUUUUUUUUCCCAGUUGAAAGCUGAGAUUCUGUGAGAUCAUUUGACUCCAUAAGCUGGGGCUUGAAUAAAAACAGUAAAUAUCAUGAGACUUGUGAAAAAAAAUCUCUACGGCUGGCUACACUGUUAAUUCUACCUAUAAAAGGGUGUAAAAUGAUAUUUACGGACCUUUGUAAAGCCUAUGAUUGGAAAGUGCUGUAUACAUUCAAAGUAUUUAUUAUUAUUACUUAUACACCCAGAGUCUUGCCCC